UAUCAAACUCCACCAUCAAUUAUGAGCGAAGGGAAAGGACUUGGAUCAAACACGAAAAAACUUCCGCUCACUCUUGGCAACGAAAUCUCAAAAUCAUCCAGCAUUGGUCGCCGUUCGACAACUACGAAGAUCUCCUUUGUCAGGACGUACAAAUUCGAGGAGCCAGCCGAGACGAGAGCCAGAUAGAGAAUGCAGCAGUAUAUGAGAUUCCACCCGGAUUUCGGAUUGUCUUACGGGGCAUCGAUGUUCAGCAUCAAGAUAUAAUCGACGAUAUGAUUUACCCCCAAGAGAUGCAUUACAAACCAGCAGCGUCGAAAGAUCCGAAGGUUUGGAACCCAGCUGGAAGCCACGGCAGAGGAGUCGUCGGUGUCCUCGAAGCGAACUUUGUCGAUCCGGCGCACGAUAAACAAGGAUUCGAGCGAACGACCACCCUGUCUCAGCUUGAGUCAAGACUUAAGUCCAACCAGAAAAACUCAUGGUUUCUCAUCUUGCUCAAAGUUCACUUUGAUUCGGUUCAAACUGCCGGUUUCAAUUUUUAGGUCGAUUUAUACUUUCUGCAGGUCCCGAAAUUGCCAUCUCGACUGGAUACUGACAAGAUUAGCGGUAUCAAAUUUCUGCAUUCAUCUAAGUGGACUGAUCGACGCUGGAUUUGGGGAGGAGACAUCUUUCUUGUUCGGACCUAUGUUGACGGUGACAAAUUUAGGAGGGCUAAUAAUUUUCGUAAACCCUACAGGUUGACACAUCCAAUUAAGAAAAGAAAAUGGAUAACAUGCCGGGACGGAUGAGAGAAGACGCCUUUUUCUCGGACCCCAGGUAUUGCCUCGAGGAACCCCACGAAGCUGUUUGGAUUGAUGCACCAGAAGAUAAUUCUGUUCUUGAGGGAUCUUCUUAGCUAGUAGGUAACAAGUUGUAAUUUUGUUGGAUCAUAGUCAUUGUUUGUACUUAAUUCAACAUCGGAACGAAGUUGUUUGGAUUGAUGCACCGGAAGACAAUUAUGUUCUUGAGGGAUCUUCUUUGCUAGUAGGUAACAAGUUGUAAUUUUAUGGGAUCAUAGUCAUUGUUUGUACUUAAUUCAACAUUGGAAAGGAUAGGGUUUUGAUUUUUUGUGGUCGACCUACUGAUUGUAAGUAUUUUGUUUGUCCAAAGCAAACCAAUUACGCAAAGGGGAUAUAUUGAUAUUUCGAUUGAUUGACACUUGCAAGUAUGAAUUUUAAUUGUUUCUAACCUCAAUAUAUAUAUAUAUGUUCUCAUAGGUAAGAUAAUUUGCUUGAUUGGUAAGUAAAUUAUGGAUGGAUUUUUGCA